UACGGGGGGAGCAAGCGUUGUUCGGAUUUACUGGGCGUAAAGCGCGCGUAGGCGGCUUUUCAAGUCGGAUGUGAAAUCCCCGGGCUUAACCUGGGAACUGCAUUCGAGACUGUCUAGCUAGAGUAUGGGAGAGGGAAGUGGAAUUUCAGGUGUAGCGGUGAAAUGCGUAGAUAUCUGAAGGAACAUCAGUGGCGAAAGCGACUUCCUGGACCAAUACUGACGCUCAUGUGCGAAGGCGUGGGGAGCAAACAGG
rnacentral:rRNA from 1 species